rnacentral:lncRNA from 1 species
AGGAAAGUUUUUACCUUUUUUAGCAGCCGGAGGUGGCUCUGGCGCAACGGCGGCAGACGGUCGGCUCCCUUCUCUGGUGACUGAUUCUUCUUCUCCAGCAGGAGGCUAGCGGCUAAGGUUUUGGUUUGGUGUGAUGCGAAAUAUUUAUACCCGUAUCGUAUUAAUCUGAGUCGUUAAUUGUGUUUGAUCUCAACCGUCUGAGCGCAUUUAAAGAAAAAAUAAAUC